AAGAUUAAGCCAUGCAUGUCUAAGUAUAAGCACUUUGUACUGUGAAACUGCGAAUGGCUCAUUAAAUCAGUUAUCGUUUAUUUGAUAGUACCCUACUACAUGGAUACCUGUGGUAAUUCUAGAGCUAAUACAUGCGCAAAACCCCGACUUCGGAAGGGGUGUAUUUAUUAGAUAAAAAACCAAUGCCCUUCGGGGCUCCUUGGUGAUUCAUAAUAACUUAACGAAUCGCAU
rnacentral:rRNA from 1 species